AAACGACUCUCGGCAACGGAUAUCUCGGCUCUCGCAUCGAUGAAGAACGUAGCGAAAUGCGAUACUUGGUGUGAAUUGCAGAAAUCCCGUGAACCAUCGAGUCUUUGAACGCAAGUUGCGCCCGAAGCCUUUAGGUCGAGGGCACGCCUGCCUGGGCGUCACG
rnacentral:rRNA from 1 species